rnacentral:rRNA from 1 species
UCGAGCCGAUGUAGCAUGUAUUCGCGUCGGAUCGUACUUGACUCGCGACCUUUGAUCCUGGUUCAGGACGAACGCUGGCGGCGUGCUUAACACAUGCAAGUCGGACGAGACGAUUGAAAGCUUGCUUUUGAAAGUCGAGGUGGCAAACGGGUGAGUAACGCGUAGACAACCUGCCGUAAAGAUGGGGACAACAGUCCGAAAGGACUGCUAAUACCGAAUGUUGUGGAACUUCCGCAUGGAAGCUUCACUAAAGAUGGCCUCUACUUGUAAGCUAUCGCUUUACGAUGGGUCUGCGUCUGAUUAGCUAGUUGGUGGGGUAACGGCCUACCAAGGCGACGGUCAGUAGCCGGUCUGAGAGGAUGAACGGCCACAUUGGAACUGAGACACGGUCCAGACUCCUACGGGAGGCAGCAGUGGGGAAUCUUCCGCAAUGGGCGCAAGCCUGACGGAGCAACGCCGCGUGAGUGAAGAAGGGUUUCGACUCGUAAAGCUCUGUUGUCGGGGACGAACGUGGAGAUGGUGAAUAACCAUUUCCAAUGACGGUACCUGACGAGGAAGCCACGGCUAACUACGUGCCAGCAGCCGCGGUAAUACGUAGGUGGCGAGCGUUGUCCGGAAUUAUUGGGCGUAAAGGGAGCGCAGGCGGGAGAUCAAGUCUAUCUUAAAAGUGCGGGGCUCAACCCCGUGAGGGGAUGGAAACUGGUCUUCUUGAGUGCAGGAGAGGAAAGCGGAAUUCCUAGUGUAGCGGUGAAAUGCGUAGAUAUUAGGAGGAACACCAGUGGCGAAGGCGGCUUUCUGGACUGUAACUGACGCUGAGGCUCGAAAGCGUGGGGAGCGAACAGGAUUAGAUACCCUGGUAGUCCACGCCGUAAACGAUGAAUGCUAGGUGUAGGAGGUAU